rnacentral:tRNA from 1 species
GGGCAAUUGGCUUAGGUGGUAUAGCGCCCGCUUAGCAUGCGGGAGGUCCAGGGUUCGAGUCCCUGAUUGUCCA